rnacentral:lncRNA from 1 species
AGAAUUCCUGACUUAUCCAUAUGAUUAAGGAAACCAAAUCUAAUCAUUUCCUUAACUAUAAUACACAAAUAUAGAUGUUAAUAAUAAAAUAAUAUAUCAUUUAUAGUAAUUAAUUUAUGUUAAGGGAAAAAUUAUCGGUGAUUACAUUUCUCCCCCACUUAAUAGAAAUUUGGCCCCCAAAUUUGAUUAAGAAUAACAUUAAUCAAUAUAGUUAACUUUUGAAAUAUUAAGUCGGACAAAACUAAAUUAGCUUGAAAAAUAUUUUAAUUAAAUGUACCACUCGAAAACUUUUUAGUCAAAAAUAUAUAUAUUUUUAACAUAAAAUAUAUGACAGAUUAAUGAAACUUAUUGAAUAAAUUUGGUUUUAGAUUACCCAAG